rnacentral:rRNA from 1 species
GAUGAACGCUGGCGGCGUGCCUAAUACAUGCAAGUCGAGCGAACAGACGAGGAGCUUGCUCCUCUGACGUUAGCGGCGGACGGGUGAGUAACACGUGGAUAACCUACCUAUAAGACUGGGAUAACUUCGGGAAACCGGAGCUAAUACCGGAUAAUAUAUUGAACCGCAUGGUUCAAUAGUGAAAGACGGUUUUGCUGUCACUUAUAGAUGGAUCCGCGCCGCAUUAGCUAGUUGGUAAGGUAACGGCUUACCAAGGCAACGAUGCGUAGCCGACCUGAGAGGGUGAUCGGCCACACUGGAACUGAGACGCGGUCCAGACUCCUACGGGAGGCAGCAGUAGGGAAUCUUCCGCAAUGGGCGAAAGCCUGACGGAGCAACGCCGCGUGAGUGAUGAAGGUCUUCGGAUCGUAAAACUCUGUUAUUAGGGAAGAACAAAUGUGUAAGUAACUAUGCACGUCUUGACGGUACCUAAUCAGAAAGCCACGGCUAACCACGUG